rnacentral:misc_RNA from 1 species
UCUCCGUUGGUGAACCAGCGGAGGGAUCAUUACAGAGUUGCAAAACUCCCAAACCAUUGUGAACGUUACCUAUCCCGUUGCUUCGGCGGGCGGCCCGGGCCCCGCGCCCGGCGCCCCCCGGCCCCCCGUGGGCGCCCGCCGGAGGUAAACCAAACCCUUGAAUUGCAUGGCCUCUCUGAGUCUUCUGUACUGAAUAGUCAAAACUUUCAACAACGGAUCUCUUGGUUCUG